GAUGAACGCUGGCGGUAUGCUUAACACAUGCAAGUCGAACGGACUCUUCGGAGUUAGUGGCGGACGGGUGUGUAACGCGUGAGAAUCUGGCUUUGGGUUCGGGACAACCACUGGAAACGGUGGCCAAUACCGGAUGUGCCGAGAGGUAAAAGAGAAAUUGCCUGAAGAUGAGCUCGCGUCUGAUUAGCUAGUUGGUGAGGUAAAGGCUCACCAAGGCAGCGAUCAGUAGCUGGUCUGAGCGGAUGACCGGCCACGCUGGGACUGGGACACGGCCCAGACGCCUACGGGAGGCAGCAGUGGGGAAUGUUCCGCAAUGGGCGAAAGCCUGACGAAGCAAUACCGCGUGAGGGAAGAAGGCUCUUGGGAUGUAAACCUCUUUUCUUAAGGAAGAACAAAAUGACGGUACCUAAGGAAUCAGCAUCGGCUAACUCCGUG
rnacentral:rRNA from 1 species